rnacentral:rRNA from 1 species
AUUGAACGCUGGCGGCAGGCCUAACACAUGCAAGUCGAACGAGUGGCGGACGGGUGAGUAAUGUCUGGGAAACUGCCUGAUGGAGGGGGAUAACUACUGGAAACGGUAGAUAAUACCGCAUACCAUCAGAUGUGCCCAGAUGGGAUUAGCGUGUGGGUGUGGUAACGGCUCACCAAGGCGACGAUCCCUAGCUGGUCUGAGGGGAUUACCAGCCACACUGGAACUGAGACACGGUCCAGACUCCUACGGGAGUCAGCAGUGGGGAAUAUUUCACGAUGGGCGCAAGCCUGAUGCAGCCAUGCCGCGUGUAUGAAUAAGGCGUUCGGGUUUUAAAGUACUUUCAGCGGGGAGGCGUUACCCGCAGAAGAAGCACCGGCUAACUCCGUGCCAGCCGCCGCGGUAAUAC